GAUGAACGCUGGCGGCGUGCCUAAUACAUGCAAGUCGAGCGAACAGACGAGGAGCUUGCUCCUCUUACGUUAGCGGCGGACGGGGGAGUAAAACGUGGGUAACCUACCUAUAAGACUGGGAUAAAUUCGGGAAACCGGAGCUAAAACCGGCUAAUAUAUUGAACCGCAUGGUUCAAUAGUUAAAGACGGUUUUGCAGUCACUUAUAGAUGGAUCCGCGCCACAUUAGCUAGUUGGUAAGGUAACGGCUUACCAAGGCAACGAUGCGUAGCCGACCUGAGAGGAUGAUCGGCCACACUGGAACUGAGACACGGUCCAGACUCCUACGGGAGGCAGCAGUAGGGAAUCUUCCGCAAUGGGCGAAAGCCUGACGGAGCCACGCCGCGUGAGUGAUGAAGGUCUUCGGAUCGUAAAACUCUGUUAUUAGGGAAGAACAAAUGUGUAAGUAACUAUGCACGUAUUGACGGUACCUAAUCAGAAAGCCACGGCUAACUACGUG
rnacentral:rRNA from 1 species